rnacentral:misc_RNA from 1 species
AACCUAGCACACCUGCGGUGUGUACCUGCGGAAGGAUCAUUACCGAGUGCGGUCCCAUAUAAGGGGCGCCUCCCGUCCUUUGCAGGGCCUUUAGGGGCUUUUUGACUUUGCUUCGGCGGGCUUGCCCCGCCGGAACACCCUCAAGAAAAUCUUUAUGAACCGUUUGUCUGAGUUGCUUGCGAAUAAAAACAAAACUUUUAACAACGGAUCU